rnacentral:rRNA from 1 species
UAACGGCCGCGGUACCCUAACCGUGCGAAGGUAGCAUAAUCACUUGUUCUUUAAAUAGGGACUAGUAUCAACGGCAUCACGAGGGUUACACUGUCUCCUUUCUCCAAUCAGUGAAACUGAUCUCUUCGUGAAGAAGCGAAGAUAUAACUAUUAGACGAGAAGACCCCAUGGAGCUUUAAGCUCAACAACAAUUUUUAUGAAAAUAAUUCCUCAUAGUACACAAACCCUGUUUGUUAGCUUUAGGUUGGGGUGACCGCGGAGUAUAACUUAACCUCCACAACGAAAAGGCAUAAAACCCUUAUCCAAGAGCCACUGCUCUAAGAAUCACCAAAUUGACGUAUAAUGAUCCGAUCUUCGAUCAACGGACCAAGUUACCCUGGGGAUAACAGCGCAAUCCAUUUUUAGAGCCCCUAUCGACAAA